GACGAACGCUGGCGGCGUGCUUAACACAUGCAAGUCGAACGGAAAGGCCCUGCUUUUGUGGGGUGCUCGAGUGGCGAACGGGUGAGUAACACGUGAGUAACCUGCCCUUGACUUUGGGAUAACUUCAGGAAACUGGGGCUAAUACCGGAUAGGAGCUCCUGCUGCAUGGUGGGGGUUGGAAAGUUUCGGCGGUUGGGGAUGGACUCGCGGCUUAUCAGCUUGUUGGUGGGGUAGUGGCUUACCAAGGCUUUGACGGGUAGCCGGCCUGAGAGGGUGACCGGCCACAUUGGGACUGAGAUACGGCCCAGACUGCUACGAGAGGCAGCAGUGGGGAAUAUUGCACAAUGGGCGGAAGCCUGAUGCAGCAACGACGCGUGCGGGAUGACGGCCUUCGGGUUAUAAACCGCUUUCGCCUGUGACGAAGCGUGAGUGACGGUAAUGGGUAAAGAAGCACCGGCUAACUACGUG
rnacentral:rRNA from 1 species